rnacentral:rRNA from 1 species
UCCUGGCUCAGGACACGCUGGCGGCGUGCUUAACACAUGCAAGUCGAACGAUGAACCAGGGCUUGCCCUGGGGAUUAGUGGCGAACGGGUGAGUAACACGUGGGCAACCUGCCCCAGACACCGGGAUAACCUCUCGAAAGAGUGGCUAAUACCGGAUAUGACCACUUCGGGCAUCCGACGGUGGUGGAAAGGAUUCUGGUCUGGGAUGGGCCCGCGGCCUAUCAGCUAGUUGGUGGGGUAAUGGCCUACCAAGGCGACGACGGGUAGCCGGCCUGAGAGGGCGACCGGCCACACUGGGACUGAGACACGGCCCAGACUCCUACGGGAGGCAGCAGUGGGGAAUAUUGCGCAAUGGGCGAAAGCCUGACGCAGCGACGCCGCGUGAGGGACGAAGGUCUUCGGAUUGUAAACCUCUUUCAGCAGGGACGAAGCGAAAGUGACUGUACCUGCAGAAGAAGCACCGGCUAACUACGUG